GACGAACGCUGGCGGCGUGCUUAACACAUGCAAGUCGAACGGAAAGGCCCCUUUGGGGGUACUCGAGUGGCGAACGGGUGAGUAACACGUGAGUAACCUGCCCUUGACUUCGGGAUAACUUCCGGAAACUGGGGCUAAUACCGGAUAGGAAUCCUUGCUGCAUGGUGGGGGUUGGAAAGCUUCGGCGGUUUUGGAUGGACUCGCGGCUUAUCAGCUUGUUGGUGGGGUAGUGGCUUACCAAGGCUUUGACGGGUAGCCGGCCUGAGAGGGCGACCGGCCACAUUGGGACUGAGAUACGGCCCAGACUCCUACGGGAGGCAGCAGUGGGGAAUAUUGCACAAUGGGCGGAAGCCUGAUGCAGCAACGCCGCGUGCGGGAUGACGGCCUUCGGGUUGUAAACCGCUUUCAGCAGGGGCGAAGCUUGUGGUGACGGUACCUGCAGAAGAAGCACCGGCUAACUACGUG
rnacentral:rRNA from 1 species